rnacentral:rRNA from 1 species
UACAGAGGGUGCGAGCGUUGUUCGGAAUCAUUGGGCGUAAAGCGCUUGUAGGCGGCUUGUUAAGUCGAACGUGAAAUCCCCGGGCUCAACCCGGGAACUGCGUCCGAUACUGGCAGGCUUGAAUCCGGGAGAGGGAUGCGGAAUUCCAGGUGUAGCGGUGAAAUGCGUAGAUAUCUGGAGGAACACCGGUGGCGAAGGCGGCAUCCUGGACCGGCAUUGACGCUGAGGCGCGAAAGCCAGGGGAGCAAACGGG